rnacentral:rRNA from 1 species
AGUGAACGCUGGCGGUAGGCCUAACACAUGCAAGUCGAACGGCAGCACAGUAAGAGCUUGCUCUUACGGGUGGCGAGUGGCGGACGGGUGAGGAAUACAUCGGAAUCUACUUUUUCGUGGGGGAUAACGUAGGGAAACUUACGCUAAUACCGCAUACGACCUACGGGUGAAAGCAGGGGAUCUUCGGACCUUGCGCGAUUGAAUGAGCCGAUGUCGGAUUAGCUAGUUGGCGGGGUAAAGGCCCACCAAGGCGACGAUCCGUAGCUGGUCUGAGAGGAUGAUCAGCCAAACUGGAACUGAGACACGGUCCAGACUCCUACGGGAGGCAGCAGUGGGGAAUAUUGGACAAAGGGCGCAAGCCUGAUCCAGCCAUACCGCGUGGGUGAAGAAGGCCUUCGGGUUGUAAAGCACUUUUGUUGGGAAAGAAAAGCAGCAGGUUAAUACCCCGCUGUUCUGACGGUACCCAAAGAAUAAGCACCGGCUAACUUCGUG